GGGGUUUUGCCAUGUUGCCCAGGCUGGUCUCAAACUGCUGGGCUCAAACAGUCCUCCAGUCGUGGCUUCACAGAGUGCUGGAAUUACAAGCAUGAGCCACAACACCUGGCCCAAUUGGGGAACUUUGAACAAGACUUUAAUAUCAGAAUUAUAAAAGAAGUAAGGCUUUGAAAGCUUCGGCGCCUGCUCCUGGUCAUCACUAACCAGAUUUACUUGGAGUACCUGUGAAAGAAAACAUCAGUCCGCCUGUAAAUUUAAGCAAGCCGUAUUAGAUGGGGAGCGUGGAACGUCCCUGUACACUUGUAUAAGUACCAUUUACUUCAUGGCAUGAAUAAAUGGAUCUCUGAGAUGCACUGCUACCUGGUCCUGCUUUCAAUGUGUUACCCCCUCGGCCUCCUCCAGUGUGUCGGACGUACUCUGAAUAGAUCAUUUGUCAUGCAGCAGAUGCAGUCAGAAUCUCACUGAGCCACCCAUCAUUGUGAAAUAAUUAUCUCAGUUGUCACAGGAGUUGGUGAUCAGGAUCCAGGCACUCACUUGGAUUCUACUGCUUAAUAAAUGUUUAUUAAACUUGAUCCUGAUACUUA